GCGACUUAUAUUCUGUAGCAAGGUUAACCGAAUAGGGGAGCCGGAGGGAAACCGAGUCUUAACCGGGCGUUAAGUUGCAGGGUAUAGACCCGAAACCCGGUGAUCUAGCCAUGGGCAGGUUGAAGGUUGGGUAACACUAACUGGAGGACCGAACCGACUAAUGUUGAAAAAUUAGCGGAUGACCUGUGGCUGGGGGUGAAAGGCCAAUCAAACCGGGAGAUAGCUGGUUCUCCCCGAAAGCUAUUUAGGUAGCGCCUCGUGAAUUCAUCUCCGGGGGUAGAGCACUGUUUCGGCUAGGGGGCCAUCCCGGCUUACCAACCCGAUGCAAACUGCGAAUACCGGAGAAUGUUAUCACGGGAGACACACGGCGGGUGCUAACGUCCGUCGUGAAGAGGGAAACAACCCAGACCGCCAGCUAAGGUCCCAAAGUCAUGGUUAAGUGGGAAACGAUGUGGGAAGGCCCAGACAGCCAGGAUGUUGGCUUAGAAGCAGCCAUCAUUUAAAGAAAGCGUAAUAGCUCACUGGUCGAGUCGGCCUGCGCGGAAGAUGUAACGGGGCUAAACCAUGCACCGAAGCUGCGGCAGCGACACUGUGUGUUGUUGGGUAGGGGAGCGUUCUGUAAGCCUGUGAAGGUGUGUCGUGAGGCAUGCUGGAGGUAUCAGAAGUGCGAAUGCUGACAUAAGUAACGAUAAAGCGGGUGAAAAGCCCGCUCGCCGGAAGACCAAGGGUUCCUGUCCAACGUUAAUCGGGGCAGGGUGAGUCGACCCCUAAGGCGAGGCCGAAAGGCGUAGUCGAUGGGAAACGGGUUAAUAUUCCCGUACUUGGUGUUACUGCGAAGGGGGGACGGAGAAGGCUAUGUUGGCCGGG
rnacentral:rRNA from 1 species